rnacentral:lncRNA from 1 species
AUGGGUGGAGGUCAUUCAGGGUCUGUGAGGAAGUUUGUGUCAGAUUCUCUUUGGCUUCAGUCUGAACAACAACAACAGAGAGAGAUGCUGAUCCAGUCUCUGCUGCUGUCGAUUUCCCUCGGCUGCUACUGCAAUGCUUACGGUGAUCACCAUGACAAUGCUCCCGCUGCCAUGACAAUGGGCGACACCCAGUCUCCUGACCAAACUGAUGUCGAUCCCGCCGGUUCUAGCUUCACACCCAAACUGAUGGGCCUGGUACAGGAUCAAAGGCAAGAAACUCUGUGGCGGGAGAAGAUACUGGAUCUGCUGACACAACUGGUUCUAGUUCAGAAGGAGGUCUCUAAAAAACAGGCCCAGGUGGUCCAAAUGCUUGGUUUCCUGCAGACCCAGGGCUCGCAGCAGAUCCAGGAUUUGCAGAACAUGGCUCGCCACCAGAGUCUGCUGUUAGAAAACCACCAGGCCUUACUGCUACAGACAUCCCGCAUCGCCUCUAACCUGCAGGAAAUCAGCAAGAAACCUGCUGCUUUCAGCCAAUGAGAUCUGAUGGUCCUUUACCAGACAGCCAAUGAGAUUUUUAUUUUUUGUGUUCUUAGCCAUUUGCCUAAUGAGACCAGUUUAAUGUGCCUGAUCAUAAUAAUUGCUUUGAUAAGGGAAAAAGACAGAGAGGAAAUCAAACUGUUAGCAAAGUCUGUUUUUUUCUAACUUGAUGUGAUUUAAUCUGUUUUAUUAUCUGCUUCCUUCCUAUUGAGUUUAAAUAAAAUUCUUGUUCCUGAUUCUGUGUCUCA